GUUUUUUUCCCAGUCUCUGUACUUUGUAAGUUAAUUUAUAGGACAUAUUAGAUUGUCCUGUUUGCUGAUUGAACCAGCCCCAAAGAGCCACGAUUUUCAUUGCAGACCUACACCAGAGCCGGCCUUGUUUUGUUCUCUCAGAGAGGCUGUGUGUCGGCAUGACUUCUCAAGCCCUGCUCAUUAGCUCUCCCUACCCCGGCCCUCUCCUUCAGCUGCAGAGCUUGUAGGAAGCCGAGUCUGGAGAAUGAAAGACUUGGACUCUGAGGACUGCAAACUGUCUGGAUUCCUCUGGGAACUUGCUUUCCUUUGGCUGCAUCAAGAAUUAAUAAUGGCUUCCCAGGAAAUCUGCUUACUUUUGUAUCUUGUGUUUUCAACAUUGGAAUUAGGGUCUUUUCUGCUUCUCAGAAUGUUUUAGUACAAAACACAUUCUAUCAUGUUAGACAGAAGCAUUGAUUGUGGAGAGACGUGCACUGAUGGGUGUGUAUUAUGGGUUAGGUGGGUGGGGAACAGAGAAGUCAGGUGUGGGUUUAACCAGUGAUGGGAUGAGCUUGUUGGCUUAGGAUGCUCUUACCAGAGAGUACCCAAAACCCAUCUUCUAACUAAAGGUCCAGACUCAACAGCCUAUACAGUCAACUUCCCUUCUGUAUUUGCUUAACACAAAAGUAUAUAACAAGAGGAAAAAAAUAAAUAAAUUUGAGACACAAAUGUUUGGGUGAAGAAAAAAAGAAAACUGCCAAGUUAGUUGGUUGGUACUCCUUGAGCAAGCAGGGUUUCUUAACCAGCAUUGCUGAACCCCCCUAGUUCCAGAGCCUUCUAACUGAGGUUUAUAGAUAUAGAUAUUAUAGAUCGAUCUUGUACAUUUGAUCUUGAUUUAUAGAUCUUGUACAUUUUGCUUUGCAGAAGUAACUUAUUUAACCAAAUAGGAAAAAAAAAAGAAUAUAUUUCACUCCUUUCUUGCCUCUUCCCCCCUCCCGUGGCUUGUAGACUUUUUUAAAGAUAGAAAUUCUAGGCAAAAUGGUAGUAUUUUGAUAAGUAGUUACACAUAAGGCCAGAGUAGCUCUUCUCUGUCCCCUCCUGACCUGUGUUCAGCUGUGGGGAGUCUACAGUUUGGUGUGGGCUGGGUGCUCUGGCCACUCCCCUUCUCUAGCAGCUCUGGAAGGGUGACUCUAGCUGCAGGAGACUCGGGUUUGAGAGGGUACACGCGAAGCUUCCAUAAACAGCACUGCCAAAGCUUUGGGACCGUGCCCAAGGCUACCCGGACUCCCUACCUAGCCUGAGUUCUAAUUGCCAAUAGUCCCCACAGUGCCAAACUUGGGAGAAUGUUACAGUGUUUGAGGAAUAAGUUGAUGCCAGCCCCAGGCCCUCUUGAACCCUAGCCCUGCUGCUCCCCUGGCGAUCUGUCCUCCUCAGGUGGGAUAGGGUGAGAGGGCAGGGGCAGGGAUUUUAAAGAACUCACUGCAUUUGCAGUUGUUUAAUCAUAAAAAUAAAUUAUACGGACCUAGAACAAUCCAAAGCUAGUUCCUGAGACCUGUAUUUCUAAACUGUGACCAGCUUUGCCCAAGCCCCUCUGGAUCACUGUUCUACCAUAUGGCCGUGUGCACUCAAUCCUGGUGGCUGGUACGCUCUGCCCCUUGCUGUGACUGGAAGGGACUGGCCCCUUGAAUCUGGUGUAUGUCAAAACAUGACCAAGAGAAGGCUUGGUGACAUAAGCACAGCUUCUGUGAUGCAGGAGUAGUGACGUGGACAUUUUGCACUGCCGCCGAUGACAGCACGGGAGUGCUAGCAUUGAUGUUUUCAUCCUCUGAGGAGGCUCCAGGGAACUGGCCGCACUGUUGGCCGGAGCUUCUGGAAAUGCAUGAAAGAGUCACAAAAGGAGUGACCUUUUUCCUCUGCCAGGUGUACUUUGAUUUCCCUGUUUGUUUCUUCUCAUGGUCCUCCUCUUCCUGAUUUCAGAGAUUUUUUUUUCCUUCCUUUGACCCAGGAUUACACAGAUCUCCCUGGAAUAGUCGUCCAAAAUAGCCUUUGUUUGUUACACCAGCACUCCUGAUUCAGCUCUUUAUGCUGGUCAGAUAGGGUGGGGGUGGGCGGUAUGAACUAUGAACCCUGAACAGCCUCUGGUUACAUCAUUCUCAUUUAGGACUUUGGGCUAGUUGGGUGCAUCUUGCAGGAAUAGAGGAAUCUAGCGGUCCUCAACACGGUCCUCAACACAAGAGAACACGUAUGCUAAAAAUGUUUUUUCAGGUACAUGGUUUUCUUGUCAGAGAAGUUGGGGGAACCAUACUUCACAGUGCGAAAUAAAUUCAUGACCAAGCUAAAUGUCAAAUAGGAGAGGAGAAAACGCAUACAGAGCCCUAACAGAGUGUCUGUGAGCUUCAUGUUUUCCAAAUGAACUCGAUCACAGACAUGUCUGAGUGACCCUCCUGACAUUUCAGUGGGCUCUUCAUUACCACCUUGGAAUGACGGUUUGUAAAUCAGAAGCACUGAGCUCUCGCCUGCAAGGCUGGCUUACAGUAGAAGCAGUAUUGGAAUGUUAUGAUUUAAUAUGACUGACAGUCUCCCAUUGACAGCAGAAGGCCAGCAGGCAUAUUGAAAGGUCUCCCUCCUUUUCUGUAAGAAGCAAGGGCUUUGUCAUGCUGGGCUAUUCUUGGCUGGGCUACCACAGCCUUCAGUUGUUUCUCUGCUUUCCAAAUUAAACCAAAAUGUUUGUUUUUUCUCAUCAUUGACACACACCAAAAAAAGAAUGCAUGCUUGAUUUUAAUUUGUUUUUGACAUUUUAACUAUUUUUAAUGUAUAAUAGAAAUGUCACCUGUUAAUAUUAACACACACUUAUUAUCUUUCCUCUCUUCACACCAGACUCUGUGAAAUAAUUUGCAAUCUAGAAUUCAUACAUCCUGAAAUUCAUAUCCUAUGUUAGCCCUUCUUUCAUACACACACACACAUAUACACACACGCACGCGCACGGUUAAGUCUGGCAACUUAUAAGGCUUGGCCAUAUUUCCCUAGACGUUAUCCUCUGCCUUGUCAGUUUGUUUGUCUGUGGCUUUUUUUUAGGGGAGGGGGAAGAGAUGGGCAGCUGUAACAAGUAGCCCAGAUAGAUCUAUGGGUGAAACACAGAACAGAAUAAAUCUGGGAUACAGUCAUUAAUUUACAACGGCAUCCAAUAUUUUGAGGAAUAUGCCACCUAUAUU
rnacentral:lncRNA from 1 species